rnacentral:lncRNA from 1 species
ACCCUCUUUGGCGUCUACCUUGGCCCUAAGCAUUCUUCGAGUCAUCCCUGUCCUCGCACCUCUGCAUUCUUCGGAGUGACUUAGGUUAGUCCUGAAACUUUCGUUUCUCUUCUUGCCAUCUAGGUGCCCUUUCUCCUCUAUUUUUCUUCUGUCGCAUUCCCCUGGUUUGGUCCCCCGCGAACCUUCGCCUCUUAUUUCGCCUGAUUUCUCCGAGAUUUUUAGGGUCCUUGUUUGAAAUGUCUUCUAGCACCUCCGCCUCUAGUGGUUCCAGGAGUUCGUCCGCCUCAGCCCCCC